GAUGAACGCUGGCGGCGUGCUUAAUACAUGCAAGUCGAACGAACAGACGAGAUUCUUUCUUCUCGGUCGUUAUCGUCGGACGUGUGUGUCACACGUGUGAAACAUACCUAUGUGACUUGCCUCACUUCGGGAGACCGGAGCUAGUACCGACUAAUAUUUUGAACCACAUGGUUAAAAAGUGAAAGACGAUUUUUCUGUCAGUUAUGGAUGUAUCCUCGCCGCAUUAGCUAGUUGGUAAGGUGACGGCUUACCACCGCGACAAUGAGUAGCCGGCCUGAGAGAGUGGCCGGCCACAUUUGGACUGGGACACGGCCCAAACUCCUACGGGAGGCAGCAGUGGGUAAUAUUGCAAAAUGGGGGAAACCCUGAUGGAGCUACGCCGCGUGAGCGAUGAAGUAUUUCGGUAUGUAAAGCUCUAUCAGCAGGGAAGAAAAUGACGGUACCUGACUAAGAAGCACCGGCUAAAUACGUG
rnacentral:rRNA from 1 species